GAACGCUGGCGGCGUGCUUAACACAUGCAAGUCGAGCGGUAAGGCCCUUCGGGGUACACGAGCGGCGAACGGGUGAGUAACACGUGGGUGAUCUGCCUCGCACUCUGGGAUAAGCCUGGGAAACUGGGUCUAAUACCGGAUAUGACCACCGGUCGCAUGGUUGGUGGUGGAAAGAUUUAUCGGUGCGAGAUGGGCCCGCGGCCUAUCAGCUUGUUGGUGGGGUAAUGGCCUACCAAGGCGACGACGGGUAGCCGGCCUGAGAGGGCGACCGGCCACACUGGGACUGAGACACGGCCCAGACUCCUACGGGAGGCAGCAGUGGGGAAUAUUGCACAAUGGGCGAAAGCCUGAUGCAGCGACGCCGCGUGAGGGAUGACGGCCUUCGGGUUGUAAACCUCUUUCGACAGGGACGAAGCGCAAGUGACGGUACCUGUAGAAGAAGCACCGGCCAACUACGUGCCAGCNGCCGCGGUAAUACGUAGGGUGCGAGCGUUGUCCGGAAUUACUGGGCGUAAAGAGCUUGUAGGCGG
rnacentral:rRNA from 1 species